rnacentral:rRNA from 1 species
GACGAACGCUGGCGGCGUGCUUAACACAUGCAAGUCGAGCGGUAAGGCCCUUUCGGGGGUACACGAGCGGCGAACGGGUGAGUAACACGUGGGUGACCUGCCCUCAGCUCUGGGAUAAGCCUGGGAAACCGGGUCUAAUACCGGAUAUGACUCCAUGACGCAUGUUGUGGGGUGGAAAGCCUUGUGCGGCUGAGGAUGGGCCCGCGGCCUAUCAGCUUGUUGGUGGGGNGAUGGCCUACCAAGGCGACGACGGGUAGCCGGCCUGAGAGGGCGACCGGCCACACUGGGACUGAGACACGGCCCAGACUCCUACGGGAGGCAGCAGUGGGGAAUCUUGCGCAAUGGGCGAAAGCCUGACGCAGCGA